rnacentral:lncRNA from 1 species
UUAUAUCUAUGAAUCGAAAAGUUCAAGCAACAAACUUUGAAUUUUAUUGUUAAAUAAAUGUUCUAUACCUGAAUCAUGUUAGUUGUAUGUCCUCUAAAAUAACGAUUAUAGGUUUCAACUUUUUCCAAAAACCUUAGCAACUACAGAAUUAUAAUGCUCCCUUAAUGAAGAUCCUUAGGAACCGAUAAAGUAAUUAGUAGAUGACACAAUGGGAAUUAC